rnacentral:lncRNA from 1 species
CAAUAUAUUCUACACGAUGAACUCAUCAGUUCUGAAUAAAAUUAAAUUCUCAUUUAAUUAUCAUGUACAAUAUAUUCUUUAUAAAAAGACAAACAUAUGAUUUCUGGAAAAUAAAGAAAUAUAUCGAAAUUAUCUGUAAUUUAGAAAUAGCGACCAAACCCAAUAAAUGAAGAGUCAUGGCACAUGGAUAUGUCAUUGUUGGAGGUCUUGGUCUACAGGGCAUGGGGACUGCAAUUUGUUUUUUCUACUCCAAUAUCAUUUUUAAUUAUUUAACUAAACUAUUAUUUAACCUAAUUCUAGCAUGUAAAGGUUGUAUGGGUUGACUAAUGGUAAAAUUUCCCUGUAACUUAUUCAAAAUUUUCUCUACAAAUGUGGUGGAAUUUGUCGGUGGGCUGAAAGAACUGGACAAGAUGUUUUAAGGAAGAAAAAGAAAUUAUAAUCGUGUCUAUUAUAAUGUUCAGUGAAUAAAUGGAAUUUUUGUCCUAUUCUAAAGGUUAAAGAUUAACUAAUUUCAUGUUCUUUUGUACACAGCUGCAACUGGUGCUGGUUUCAUUGCAAGGGACAUAACAUUUGAGAACUG